rnacentral:lncRNA from 1 species
AAAAAAUGGUGGCAAAGUGUUUAUUUCAUCACACAAGUUGCGAAAUUUCCUUAAAACAGCUGCUAUAUUUAUGAUUGUGAACAUUAGGAUGUAUCAGGCAAUUGACUUAUAUUAUUGGCAACGCUACAAAAAUGUAAAUGCACUUUUGACAUGAGUUCAGUUUAUUUUUCCCUUUACGACGGAAAUAAAAUGACUAUUUAAAGGGUAAAACAGUAAAAAAAUAGGGUAGGUCAGGUAACCGUAAACAGACAUAUAUUUUUUUGGCCUUAGGAAAGACUAAAAGAAGCAAUAAUCUGAGGCUAAUUAAUAUGUAGUUUGUUAUCACGACUGCCAACUUUGACAUAUUAUUUUUAUAUAUAUAUAUAAAAAUUAUUAUCAGUAUUAAAAUUGAAUAGUCACUGCAUGCAUUUUCCCUCUAAAAAAUAGAGUACAUGUAUGACAUCAAAUAUCUGAACUGUGUCCCUGUUCAGUGUUGGUUGGAAUUAAAUCCAUUACUCAAAGCUAAAUCCCCAGUAAACAGAAUCGAACUAUAAUGGUAUUUGUAAAAUUUUCUUUGUGAAACCACAUGACCAAGAGGCAGAAAAAAGCCCCACUUGUAAUAAAGCUGUGUAUUCUGUUACAACAGACAACUGUGUGCAAGCAUGAAAGUAUGCAAAUCAUCAUUUUUUAAACUAAACAGCUGUUUAGAAACGGUCAAACCGAUAGAUGAGAGGGGAGGGUCUCAUAUUCUUAUUGCUGUGAAUGUAAGUCUACCUCAAUCUACUGAUGAUACAAAAAAUAACAACACAUACAUGUACAAGUGUUUUUCAUGACACUUAGCUGAUAUUGUAACAUAAGCUCCCUUAUGCUCAUGAUUUUUAUUUAUUUUUAGAUUUACUUAUUCUAGUUAUCAGGAUUUUAUCUUUUUAUAUACCAAAACUUUUAAUCUUUAAAAAAGUGCGGGUACAAUUGCAAAUGUAUACGGUUUCUAUUUCUAUCUAUACAUCUUUAAAACAGCCAGAUUUUUGGAUAGAGAGUCGGGGGUGGAUCCAGCCAUUUUAAAAAGGGGGGGGUUCCAACUGUAUGUCCCCAUUCAAAUACAUUGAUCGGCCAAAAAAACAGGGGUUCCAACCCCGGAAUAGACCCCCCCCCCCUUGGAUUCGCCAAUGAGAGUUGUCUCAUUGGCACUCAUAUAUUUUGUACCACAUCUUCCUAUACAUCUAUAUCUAGACAGACUGACUAUAUUAAAGUCAGUCUGUCUGUCUGUUCCAUGAAUUUUUUUCGUCCAUCUUUCUCAGGAAAAUAACAAGGAUUUCUAAAAUUUGCUUUCAGGGUUUAUAUGAAUCAGCAAUACCUUGUGAUGCUUUUUCAUAUUCAUCAUUCAACAACUUCCUGUGUACCUUAAAAUUCUUAAAGUUUAUGAGGGUUAUCAUAAGCGAUCAGUAGCUCACAGAUUCACUUGUUUGUUUCAGAUUAUUUUAUAUAUUUUUUGUUGGGGGAGGGAGCUGACUAUUUUGAGCAGUGCUCUCAGCACUUCUAUUUAAUCAUAAAAGUUACAUUAAGACGAGCAAACAUUAGCAACAUGCGUAUCAUGGGUUUAUUUAAUUUGCAUUAUAAACAAACUUGUGUGGCAAAAGUAAUUUCUUUAUUUUAAAAAAUAUAUGAUUCAUUAUCAUGAUGAUUAUACACAGAUAGUCAUACAUGUUACAUGUAUACACAGGUUCAUACUAUUUUUGUAUAUAUAGCUCUGUAACAGUUUCAGUACUUCAUUUGUUUGUACUUAUACAUCUUUGGAUUUUAAAUGUUUGGCUUUGAUGAGUGUUCCUGAUGAAAGUAAAUCCAGAAAAGCACUUUGGACGCAUGAAAUUAUUAAACGUGUUUAUCAAUUUUUCAUGCUCCUUAUUUUAAAACUAAAGUAUAUUAUUAUAAUCUUUUUUUUUUUAGGUCGCCUGAGAAUUACAGGACUGAGGUUACAGUAUGCCAUUCAAGCUUGGGUGAAAUAUAAAGUAAUGGUUUGAAUUUGGGAUCUUUAUUAUAGACAGGUAAAUUGUUUAUCCUGCAAUUAUCUACAUGUAACUAUUGUACAAUGAGACGACUCUCCUCAAAAGACCAAGUGAAACAGAAAUUAAAAACUAUAGGUCACCAUUUAGGCAUUAUGGCCUUCAACAAUGAGAAAAACACAUAAAAGGCCCCAAAUCAUAAAUGUUAAUAAACAUGUUGAAGGAGAAAACUAAUGGCCUAAUUUAUGAGGACAAAAAAAAUGAAUGAACAAACAAACAACAAGUGCUUAAUUACAGACACAAACAUACAGAAUGUGGCGGGGUUAAAGUUGAUUGUUUAACGGUUAAAUAUGUUAGCAAGCCAGGCUUUUCUUCCUGUUCUUAUAAUACAUGUACGUGCAAAUAAAUUUCUGUUUUCUUACAUCGUGAGAAGAUUGUAUGAUGUAAAUUUAGAACUUUAUAUAUGUUAUAUGGCAAUGAUUUUAAAAGGCAACUUUGAAUACAAAAUGUAUCUCAUUUUUAGCUCACCUGUCCCGAAGGGACAAGUGAGCUUAUGCCAUCACUUGGCGUCCGUCGUCGCCAUCGUCUGUCGUCUGUCGUCGUAACAUUUCAAGAUCUUCUCUCUGAAUACUGGGCAAAUACUUUCAAACUUUAAAUGAAUGUUGGGUAUCUAAUUAUAAAUGUAUCCGAAGUUUUGAUCUUCAACAAACAGGCGCCAUUGCUAAAAAUAGAACAUAGGGGUCAAAUGCAGUUUUUGGCUUAUAACUCAAAAACCAAAGCAUUUAGAGCAAUUCUGACAAGGGGUAAUAUUGUUUAUCAGGUCAAGAUCUAUCUGCCCUGAAAUUUUCAGAUGAAUCAGACAACCCAUUGUUGGGUUGCUGCCCCUGAAUUGGUAAUUUUAAGGAAAUUUUGCUGUUUUCGGUUAUUAUCUUGAAUAUUAUUAUAGAUAGAGAUAAACUGUCAACAGGAAUAAUGUUCAGCAAAGUAAGAUUUACAAAUAAGUCAACAUGACGGAAAUGGUCAGUUGACCCCUUUAGGAGUUAUUGCCUUUAUAGUCAAUUUUUUAACCAUUUUUUGUAAAUCUUAGUAAUCUUUUACAAAAAUCUUCUCCUCUGAAACUACUGGGCAAAUACUUCCAACUUUAAUUGAAUGUUCCUUAGGGUAUCUAGUUUGUAAUUGUAUCGAAGUUAUGAUCUAUCAACAAACAUGGUCACCGUUGCUAAAAUAGAACAUAGGUCAAAUGCAGUUUUUGGUUUAUAACUCAAAACCAAAGCAUUUAGAGCAAAUCUGACAUGAGGUAAUAUUGUUUAUCAGGUCAAGAUCUAUCUGCCCUGAAAUUUUUCAGAUGAAUUGACAACCUGUUGUGGGUUGCUGCCCCUGAAUUGGUAAUUUUAAGGAAAUUUUGCUGUUUUUGGUUAUUAUCUUGAAUAUUAUUAUAGAUAGAGAUAAACUGUAAACAGGAAUAAUGUUCAGUUAAGUAAGAUUUACAAAUAAGUCAACAUGACGGAAAUGGUCAGUUGACCCUUUAGGAGUUAUUGCCCUUUAUAAUCAAUUUUUAACCAUUUUCGUAAAUCUUAGUAAUCUUUUACAAAAAUCUUCUCCUCUGAAACUACUGGGCCAAAUACUUCAAACUUUAACUGAAUGUUCCUUAGGGUAUCUAGUUUUGUAAAUUGUAUCUGAAGUUAUUGAUCUAUCAACAAACAUGGUCGCCAUGCUAAAAAUAGAACAUAGGGUCAAAUGCAGUUUUGGCUAUAACUCAAAAACCAAAGCAUUUAGAGCAAAUCUGACGGGGUUAAAUUGUUUAUCAGGUAAAGAUCUGUCUGCCCGGAAAUUUUCAGAUGAAUCUAACAACCCUUUGUUGGGUUGCUGCCCCUGAAUCAGUAAUUUUAAGGAAAUUUUGCAAUUUUUGGUUAUUAUCUUGAAUAUUAUUAUAGAUAGAGAUAAACUGUAACAGCAAUAAUGUUCAGCAAAGUAAGAUUUACAAUAAGUCAACAUGACUGAAAUGGUCAGUUGACCCAUUUAGGAGUUAUUGCCCUUUAUAGUAAAUUUUUUACCAUUUUUCGUAAAUCUUAGUAAUGUUUUACAAAAAUCUUCUCCUCUGAAACUACUGGGCCAAUACUUCCAAACUUAACUGAUGUUCCUUAGGUAUCUAGUUUGUAAAUUGUAUCUGAGUAUGAUCUAUCAAAACAUGCGCAUUGCUAAAAAUAGACAUAGGGCAAUGCAGUUUUGGCUAUAAACUCAAACCAAAGCAUUAGCAAACUGACGUUGGUAAUAUUGUUUAUCAGGCAAGAUCUAUCUGCCCUGAAAUUGUCAGAUGAAUCAGACAACCUGUUGUUGGGUUCUGCCGAAUUGAUAAUUUUAAGGAAAUUUUGCUGUUUUUGUUAUCUUGAAUAUAAUUAUAGAUAGAAAUAAACUGUAACAGCAAUAAUGUCAGCAAAGUAAGAUCUUCAUAAGUCAAUUUGACCAAAAUUGUCAAUUGACCCUUAAGGAGUUAUUGCCCUUUAAGACUUUUUUCACAAUUUGUCAUCAUGGUUACUUACUUUAAAAAAUUUCUCCUUUGAAACUGCUGUUAUCAAUUUCAGCCAAAUUAGGCUAAAUGAGUUUCGAGAUUAGUAUAAAUUUUAUAUUUUAUUUCCUUGUAUGUCAAGACCAUAGCUCUAUGGCUAAAAUAGAACAUAGGAGAAAAUGAUUUUUUUUUGGACUUUUGAAGAAAUAGGACGAUCCAAAAAACAUUUAAAUAAAUUGAAAAGCCAAAAUAAUCAUUGAUGAGAGUUUAACCAAAAGAAUUAAGGUGAGCGAUUCAGGCUCUUGAGAGCCUCUUGUUAUAAGAACUGACAUUCUGAAAUCUAUACAUCAUGUACAUGCAUGACAAAUAAGUAACUGUACAAGUAUGUAGAUAUAUUCUGAAAUAGCACAAUUUUAUACAUUCUUCAAGAAUUGCAAUACAAUAAUUAAUGUACCCAAUAUAAAUCAUGAUAAUUUUCUUAAUUAAAAAUGAAGUGUCUGUACCAGCAAUAAUAUUUAUAAACACAGACAUGACGGAUACACCUAUAAUAAUAUACUGAACUUGCAAGCUAAAAUUUCUUUUGGAUUACUGAUAUUGAUCAUGUUGAUAUUGAAGUAUUCCUGUCAUUGUUCACAUUUGGAAAAGGAGAUAUAAAUAACAUAAAUUUAAAUAUUUAUUUACACAUAGUGCUCUUUUUUAAAAUGUGUGAAAAUUUAAUUUUUGUACAAAUGUUGAAUGAAGACAUUUAUAUACUACAGGUAAAAAAGGAUGGGAAUUAUUUUGUUUACAUUUUAACUUUUUGAAGAAGUAUGACUUUUUUACUUUUUCAUUUUGAAAAAUUUCAUUUGAUAUAUACAUUGUACAUGUACAUGUAUUAUAUUUGGAUUUUUAUAUUUCAGGGAUAAAGACCUUAGACCUGCAGUCAGACAACAGUUAAAAGUUACUUAUUAUAUAACUCAUGAUCAUCAUGGCCAUUAUCAUGAUUAUGGAAGAUCUGAUUAAAAUUUGUUUAGAAAGCUACCAAGUAUGUCCGUGAAAAAUAGAAAAAAGACAGCAAUUCUACAUAAU